UUAAGUGACUAAGCGUACACGGUGGAUGCCUAGGCAGUCAGAGGCGAUGAAGGGCGUGCUAAUCUGCGAAAAGCGUCGGUAAGGUGAUAUGAACCGUUAUAACCGGCGAUACCCGAAUGGGGAAACCCAGUGUGUUUCGACACACUAUCAUGUCAUGAAUACAUAGUGGCAUGAGGCGAACCGGGGGAACUGAAACAUCUAAGUACCCCGAGGAAAAGAAAUCAACCGAGAUUCCCCCAGUAGCGGCGAGCGAACGGGGAGGAGCCCAGAACCUGAAUCGGCUUGUGUGUUAGUGGAAGCGUCUGGAAAGUCGCGCAGCAAAGGGUGAUAGCCCCGUACACUAAAAUGCACAGGUCGUGAGUUCGAUGAGUAGGGCGGGACACGUGACAUCCUGUCUGAAUAUGGGGGGACCAUCCUCCAAGGCUAAAUACUCCUGACUGACCGAUAGUGAACCAGUACCGUGAGGGAAAGGCGAAAAGAACCCCGGCGAGGGGAGUGAAAUAGAACCUGAAACCGUGUACGUACAAGCAGUGGGAGCACCUUCGUGGUGUGACUGCGUACCUUUUGUAUAAUGGGUCAGCGACUUAUAUUUUGUAGCAAGGUUAACCGUAUAGGGGAGCCGUAGGGAAACCGAGUCUUAACUGGGCGAUUAGUUGCAAGGUAUAGACCCGAAACCCGGUGAUCUAGCCAUGGGCAGGUUGAAGGUUGGGUAACACUAACUGGAGGACCGAACCGACUAAUGUUGAAAAAUUAGCGGAUGACUUGUGGCUGGGGGUGAAAGGCCAAUCAAACCGGGAGAUAGCUGGUUCUCCCCGAAAGCUAUUUAGGUAGCGCCUCGUGAACUCAUCUUCGGGGGUAGAGCACUGUUUCGGCUAGGGGGCCAUCCCGGCUUACCAAACCGAUGCAAACUCCGAAUACCGAAGAAUGUUAUCACGGGAGACACACGGCGGGUGCUAACGUCCGUCGUGAAGAGGGAAACAACCCAGACCGCCAGCUAAGGUCCCAAAGUCAUGGUUAAGUGGGAAACGAUGUGGGAAGGCACAGACAGCCAGGAUGUUGGCUUAGAAGCAGCCAUCAUUUAAAGAAAGCGUAAUAGCUCACUGGUCGAGUCGGCCUGCGCGGAAGAUGUAACGGGGCUAAACCAUGCACCGAAGCUGCGGCAGCGACGCUUAGGCGUUGUUGGGUAGGGGAGCGUUCUGUAAGCCGUUGAAGGUGGCCUGUGAGGGUUGCUGGAGGUAUCAGAAGUGCGAAUGCUGACAUAAGUAACGAUAAAGCGGGUGAAAAGCCCGCUCGCCGGAAGACCAAGGGUUCCUGUCCAACGUUAAUCGGGGCAGGGUGAGUCGACCCCUAAGGCGAGGCUGAAAAGCGUAGUCGAUGGGAAACAGGUUAAUAUUCCUGUACUUGGUGUUACUGCGAAGGGGGGACGGAGAAGGCUAGGCUGGCCGGGCGACGGUUGUCCCGGUUUAAGCGUGUAGGGGGUGUGACCUGGUAAAUCCGGUUGCAUAUCAACCCUGAGGCGUGAUGACGAUGCACUACGGUGCAGAAGUAGUUGAUGCCCUGCUUCCAGGAAAAUCCUCUAAGCUCCAGGUAACAUUAAAUCGUACCCCAAACCGACACAGGUGGUCAGGUAGAGAAUACCAAGGCGCUUGAGAGAACUCGGGUGAAGGAACUAGGCAAAAUGGUGCCGUAACUUCGGGAGAAGGCACGCUGGCAUGUAGGUGAAGUCCCUUGCGGAUGGAGCUGAAGCCAGUCGAAGAUACCAGCUGGCUGCAACUGUUUAAUAAAAACACAGCACUGUGCAAACACGAAAGUGGACGUAUACGGUGUGACGCCUGCCCGGUGCUGGAAGGUUAAUUGAUGGGGUCAGCCGCAAGGCGAAGCUCUUGAUCGAAGCCCCAGUAAACGGCGGCCGUAACUAUAACGGUCCUAAGGUAGCGAAAUUCCUUGUCGGGUAAGUUCCGACCUGCACGAAUGGCGUAAUGAUGGCCAGGCUGUCUCCACCCGAGACUCAGUGAAAUUGAACUCGCUGUGAAGAUGCAGUGUACCCGCGGCAAGACGGAAAGACCCCGUGAACCUUUACUAUAGCUUGACACUGAACAUUGAGCCUUGAUGUGUAGGAUAGGUGGGAGGCUUUGAAGCGUGGACGCCAGUCUGCGUGGAGCCAUCCUUGAAAUACCACCCUUUAAUGUUUGAUGUUCUAACUCGGCCCCAUAAUCUGGGGUGAGGACAGUGUCUGGUGGGUAGUUUGACUGGGGCGGUCUCCUCCCAAAGAGUAACGGAGGAGCACGAAGGUUAGCUAAUCACGGUCGGACAUCGUGAGGUUAGUGCAAAGGCAUAAGCUAGCUUGACUGCGAGAGUGACGGCUCGAGCAGGUACGAAAGUAGGUCUUAGUGAUCCGGUGGUUCUGAAUGGAAGGGCCAUCGCUCAACGGAUAAAAGGUACUCCGGGGAUAACAGGCUGAUACCGCCCAAGAGUUCAUAUCGACGGCGGUGUUUGGCACCUCGAUGUCGGCUCAUCACAUCCUGGGGCUGAAGUAGGUCCCAAGGGUAUGGCUGUUCGCCAUUUAAAGUGGUACGCGAGCUGGGUUUAGAACGUCGUGAGACAGUUCGGUCCCUAUCUGCCGUGGGCGUUGGAAGAUUGAGAGGGGUUGCUCCUAGUACGAGAGGACCGGAGUGAACGCACCACUGGUGUUCGGGUUGUCAUGCCAAUGGCAUUGCCCGGUAGCUAAGUGCGGAAAAGAUAAGCGCUGAAAGCAUCUAAGCGCGAAACUUGCCUCAAGAUGAGUCUUCCCU
rnacentral:rRNA from 1 species